rnacentral:rRNA from 1 species
GACCAAGGCUCCGGCGCCCCGGGAGGGGCCCAUAUCAGAUUAGCUAGUUGGCGGGGUAACGGCCCACCAAGGCGAAGAUCUGUAGCGGGUGUGAGAGCACGACCCGCGCCACUGGCACUGAGACACUGGCCAGACACCUACGGGUGGCUGCAGUCGAGGAUCUUCGUCAAUGGGCGAAAGCCUGAACGAGCGAUGCCGCGUGUGCGAUGAAGGCCUUCGGGUUGUAAAGCACAAAAGAGAUGAGAAAGGGCAACUUGAUCGAAUCUCAGUAAGCUCGGGCUAAGUUCGUGCCAGCAGCCGCGGUAAGACGAACCGAGCGAACGUUGUUCGGAAUCACUGGGCUUAAAGGGCGCGUAGGCGGGUGGCUAAGUCUGUGGUGAAAUCCUCCAGCUCAACUGGAGAACUGCCAUGGAUACUGGUCGUCUCGAGGAAGGUAGGGGUACGUGGAACUAUCGGUGGAGCGGUGAAAUGCGUUGAUAUCGAUAGGAACUCCGGUGGCGAAGGCGACGUACUGGACCUUUUCUGACGCUGAGGCGCGAAAGCCAGGGGAGCAAACGGGAUUAGAUACCCCGGUAGUCCUGGCCCUAAACGAU